UUAUUGUUUGAUCGAUCAUCGUUUUUUUAAAAUGAAUUUUUCAAAAAAAUGAAAUAUUUCUACGGAAGUUAUCAUCUUUUUUUUUUAAUUUGGCCCUAGAAUGUUGAAUGACCGCUCAAACGAUCGAGAAUCGUUUGCAGGUUACUGAGCUCAGCGGCGGCGGAGUAGGGAGAUCGCCAUAUUGUAUUCAACAGCUGACGGUUUGCAUUUUGAGGCAUGGCGAAAAACUACUCCGAAACAACUUCUUUCCAAUCAAACUCACGAUCUCAUCUACAGGAGCAGGGCGCAAAUAUUGUUAUCUCUUUGUGACACUGACGUAUGUUAUUCUACUGAGAAAAUGUGGAAUGACAUUCCAAUAUUAGAAAUCGAAGUAUGUGGUACACCAGCCGAUGUUUGGAGGAAUUGUCUUUUUAAUGAACCGAGCCAAUGGAAAAAGUAUGAUUUUAUUUGUGGGAGCUAUAUCCAACCCAUUUCGAUCUUGGAGCCGAAUAUUCCUAAACCAUUGAUCACAUCAAACAAGUUACUUUUACCUCUGGAGUUUCAUAAAGUUUUAAAAAAGGUGCAAUGUCGCCGACCUCUUUCUAGCAGCAGAUGCAAUGUAGAGACAACCCAAUUUUCAUCUAUUCAUUCAUUUGAAGCAAUCAACUAAGUGUUUGCUGGAGAAUGUAUUUAAAAUGAUUGAAAUGGGCGAUCAGUAUCAAAUUGCUGGGGUCAUCAGUGCAUUUCAUGACCGAUACGUGGCCUUUUGUUUAGUGAAUGGAAAGUGGUGGUUGUACGACAACCAGCAGCCAAACAUCCGAAUGACAUCAGAUGUAGAAUUCGUUGAACUGGUUGGAUUAGUUUAUAUUUUAAAAAGUACAACGAGUUGCUAAGCAUCUUAAAAAAAAUAUCACUUACCAAAGUUAUUCUAUCAAAGAUGAAUAUUUAUUUGUUUUCCAAUAAAAAAAUAUAAUGAUUAGAAAAUUUA